rnacentral:rRNA from 1 species
UACGAAGGGUGAAGGCGUUACUCGGAAUUACUGGGCGUAAAGCGUGCGUAGGCGGUUUGUUAAGUCUGACGUGAAAUCCCCGGGCUCAACCUGGGACGUGCGUUGGAAACUGGCGAUCUAGAGUACGGUAGAGGGUGGUGGAAUUCCCGGUGUAGCAGUGAAAUGCGUAGAGAUCGGGAGGAACACUCGUGGCGAAGGCGGCCACCUGGACCAGUACUGACGCUGAGGCACGAAAGCGUGGGGAGCAAACAGG